AUAUUAAUGUAGGUUGGUGCUGAAUGUUGACAAGAACUGUUGUGCAACACCGUGUAUCCUACACUCCCAUCAUCAUUCUGAUCAUCCAUUACAACAGCACCAUACCUGCAAAACAAAUAGAUAAUAAUAUUGAAAAUAUCUAGCAGACUUACUGCAGCUUAAGCUAAAACCAGAAGGAUAAUAACAAAUUGUUCUGUAAUCUUAUUAAUCAGUUUCAGCGACAUGAAUAUAUUUGCAAAAGUUAUAUUUGCAUAAUGACCUUCAUUGAGCUAUGAAUCGUUGCAUCUUUUCUCAUACCUUUGCCACCACACCCCCCUCCCCCCACUAGGGAAAAAGAACGAGGGACAAGCAAAAGAGAAAACAAGAAAAGAAACGACAGAACUCAACCACCGCCCCAGACAAAUACACAUGAACAUGCAGAACACAUUCUCCAAUUGUGAGAGCACAGUUUUAUCAGAAAUUUAUCACAAGCAGUUUCAAAUUCGAUUAAAAACGCAAGUAGUUCUCCACACUACUCCAAAAAUGUUUUUGUUAGGUUUUAAAUAUUUUGCCAGUUUGACAACAUGGAAGGAACACAUGCAUCUCACAACAUAUCUAGAUAAUCAAAAGUCCAAAUGAAGGCUUACCUUGACUGGUAAGACUCGUUCAAACUAGUAAUUAGAUAUUCACUCAUGGAGAGAAGAACAGGACCCAAGCUUGGCCCAGCUGCAUCAAUAGCAUCAGCAAGUGUUUUUUCAGAAUCGGGGAACUUGAAAGCCCUUGGUUCUUGCUUUUGAAUCCAACCACCUUUUAUAUUAGCGGCAACCUGUACCAUGACAACAGAUUAUCUAGAUAACAGCUUCUCCUCGAGAAAAUGAAUGGUCAAAAAUAGAGCAAACCUGCUUAGCAAUAGGCAGAGUGAGAUUGAAUGGAAUCGGACCUCCGCCACCACCCCCGCUUAGUAAAGGAUUAAAAUAUGAAGUCGUAAGGGUCACAGAAUCCUGAUCAGGAUGUGGCUUAAGUCUGAGAAAAAGCAGACCAAACAGCAGAAAGACGGCUGGAAUGAACAACUGAAAUACAAUUGUUCUUCGAUCCCUUCGGGCAGAAAUUGCCCUUUUCGAGAUAAGGGCUUUGGAAUGUUUCCACAGUGUAGACUGUGUAAGCAUGCCGCAACCGCAGAAUUUAGCAGUGAAAAAUCCUAUGAAACUGCACACUGCAGCAAAUAUCAAACUGCAACCUUUUCCUACAGCAAAACAUAAUGAUCUGCAAAGUUUCAAAUGAAGUUCAAAACAUAGUGGUUUUGUAUUUGAGGGCUUUAACAGUGCAGGAUUAGAAGCUUCGGAAACCAAAGAGUCGGGCGUAUUAUGAGAUAUGUGAUAUUCGGCUGUAUCAUCAUCAUCAAUGCUUUGCCCAGAGACCUUCAUAAAUACUUCCUCCAAAGUCGUAACAGAAAUACCAUAGCUCUGGACGCCAAAAAAGUUAUCAUUACAUACAAAGACAUCCUCUGUUUUCAUGCCUGGUCUUCUAAUGCAGCUUUCAAUUUCACGAAACAAGCCCUCGAAAGAUGACGAAGCUGAAAGAGGGAGUCUAAAGGAAAUUUCUGUACCUACCUGGAAGCCAAAAAUAACAAGAGUUUUCAGAGAGAGAGUUGAUAAUGGAUAACUUAGGUCAUGGGAGUCGAGAAACUUGAAAUUUGCUUAAUGCUGUGAAAACGCAUAAGCAGAGUGAAGACAACUCUAUAAAAGUAACCAUGUAAAAAAUAGGGACAAUUGCCGAGGACUCCCUGCAAGAGUAUCAAAUAGCAAGAAAAUCCAUACAAAACUUAAGUGAUCAGAUUUGCCCCUCCAAAAGUCCCUCUGUCUGCAAAUAUAUCCUUCUAUUACAAAAACGUCAAUAACCAAGAGUAAGAAUAGUUAACCGGUUGUGUUUGAAAAGGUGCGCCUCAGGCGCGCGCCCGGUUGUGUUUGAAAAGAGGCGCGCGCCCGGUUGUGUUUGAAAAGGCGCACCUCAGGCGCGCGCCUCAGUGCCUAGGUGCGAGGCGCGGGUCUCAACGCCACAGGGAGUGAAGCGCGCACCUAAGACGCCCCUCAUGAUACUUACGUUUAAUGUGUCUAGGGUUUGGGUUUUGGGGUUUUGGAUUUUUCAAUAUAUUUUAAAAUGUUAAGGAAUUGAAAAGAAGAUUCCUAAUUUGAACGCUUUUCUUCUCCUUUUCUCUUGGUCGUUCUCUCUUCCACCCUCUAAUGGCAAUAAGCAGCCGCUAUAAAAAGCAAGAAACAAAAAGCAAGAACCAGCAACAAGCACUUUUAAGUUGAAAGUUGAAAUAUAUUUUUUUUCUUUUUAGUUUGAGAACAUAUAUACAUAUGAUUUAAUUACUUUUUUAUGAUUAUUUUGUUUCUGUAUGGCUAUUUUGAAUUUUUUAACGUAAAACAUCCAUUUAAAUUAGCCUUGUUAAGAGUGUUUUAUUUUUUUUAGAUGUGCGCCUCGCCUUCUUGAGGCGCACGCCUCGCGGUGCGCCUCACGCCUAGGCUCCAAAAGGCCUUAGCGCCUUUUUGCGCCUUGCGCCUUGCGCCUUUUCAAACACUAGGCGGUAAGGGGUAAAUGACCUUUUUACCCCUUAUAUAUAUAACUCGUAUUACAAUGUUGAGUCCCGUCAUCCUUUUCUCCCCUUUCUUUUAGUCCAUGGCGGCAGCAAUGGCGUCAAACGCAAGGCCCUCGGCUAUAGCGAAGAUGAGUAUGACACGCAAUUGACAACAAAGGCAAGAGAAGAGAGAAGAAGACAGCUUUCUGCAGGUACAAAUUUAUAAGGACAAAAUGGCCAUUUCACGCACCCACCAUUAAAAAACUAACAGUGGAUCAAACGACGGAGACAAAUACGAACAUAUCAAAACUUUCAGAGGGAUAUAUUUGCAAAUCAUAAAACUAUCGAAGGCAUAAAUCUGAUCACUUAAACUUUGUAGGCAUUUAUCCGCUAUUUGACACCUUUGCAAGGAGCCGUAUGAAAUUAACCCUAAAAAUAUAUAUCUACGAUCACUAAAAAUGAAAUAAGAGCUUGCUUUUACAGCUAUAUGAUGAGAAAUUCACCAACUUGUGGUAAUUCAUCUAAACAAGAUUGCAUGCUUCACAAGAAUAAUAAUCGCAGGUCCAGAAAUAUAUUAUUCUUAACUACAUGUCUUGGAAGACCAUGUGAAAUAUUAAUCAAAUAAAAAAAAGAUCAACAGAAAUAAUGUUUACUUAGGUUUAAGAAAAACAAAUUAAUUUAGUAUGUACCAAAAAAGGGUUUGUUUCUUCCCAUAACAUCAGGAAUUUGUUGCGUUCAGGAUGAAUAACAUAAAACAUGAGAUUAAAUCUGAAGUUAUGCAAACCUAAAAUACAAGGGUACAUGAAACCUAAAAACUUCUAAAAGAAGCACCAGCAGAGAUCAAGUCAAAAAAAAAAAAGCAAAAAGGACAUAAUGGUUUGGAAUAAUGAAGAAAUGUUUUUACAUUUCAUGAUAAAAUAAAAUUAAAAUAUGCCUGCAACAAAUUUACUACCCAAAGAUUACUAACUGUGGUUGAGAUCACUAUUACUCCACUCCUCAACCAACUCAGUACCCUUCCAUCAUAAUCACACCUGCAAUUUAAUACUUGAUUCAUACAAAGGCCAAAUCAGAUGUGUUUGUCGGUCACAUUAAUGAAGCUGUAGAGUUUACCAUCGUAUAGUCCAAAAGGACAUCAUUUCCUAGUAAAAUGGAAUAAGUAGGGCUAGGAAUAGAUCUUUUAGCAGAAAAUUCAGUUCAGUUGGAUAUAUCAUUUAUGAUAAAAAGGGAAGAACUUCGGGACAUAAACUAUCUAAGUUUAGAUGAAAAGAAAGCGAUCCGGGCUUCUAUGAAAGUUCAGCAAUUGCUUCCAGAGAGGACUUGGAUAAAUAUUCAGUUAUAUAAGAUAGUUUCAUGUAUCAAAGAAAAAGAAAAUGUAGAAACUUGUUAAGUAAUGUCUAUUACUCAUAGCUUCACUUCAAUCAUUGAAAAAAAAUGGAAACAGCAUUGAGAAGUUCUCUACUUGUUAAGGAAUGAGUAGUUUGAUGAUAAGGGGAAAGUUACAUACAUCGGACAACAGUGUUGCUGUUGGGACAUGAUGAUGAACAAUCUCCACGACCACAGAGGCAGAAGGAGCAUUCUGAAAAAAGUUUUCACAAAUAUUAGAAUCACUACUCAAGGAGAAUAAUUGAAAAAAAAAAAAAGACAACAUGUGGAAAAUAAGCUAGAAAAAAGACCUUUACGAUAGUAAGCGUAUAACCAACCCCGAAUCUAUGCUUCAAGAAAAGGGAGCUGCAGAUCACAGAAUAUACAGUGAAUUAAAUAGCAAAAAUGAAUAUUCUAAGUUUAAAUUGUUGACACUAGCUGAAAUUGCCCGAUUGAGACCUCCCAAGCAGAAUAUGUACUGAAGCCUAUACUGCCCUAAAUAGUAACGACACAGAUGUUGAAAUCACAGUGCAGUUAUGAGCCAUUGGCACUGAGCACGGUACAGUGCUGCGGCAAGUAAAUUCCUUGAGUAGCUGAUUCAAAUUCACACUUUCAAGGGAAAGGGCAACCAAAAUACGAGUAGAGACAGACAUAGAAUAAAGAGACUCAUCAUAUUCACUAAACUAAGAUGCACCAUGUAGAUGAACAAUAAAAAAUUUGCACCUUCAAUAGUACAGAAAUUUCUUUUUGAAAAAUGUACUGUUGCUGUUAUAUAGUUGUAUCAGAUGUUAGACAAACUAAGAAUUUAGACCUUCCACAGCACCUCAGGUGACCAUUAGCCAUAAUAGCUAUUCGAUCACCCAAAACAUCAGCUUCAUCCAUGGAGUGUGUUGUCAACAAUAUUACUCUUCCCUUCUUAAUCUUCUUUAUUAACUGCCAUGUUGAUCGCAUCGAGUAUGGAUCCAUUCCACUAGUUGGUUCAUCAAGGAUGAUUACCUGAAUAUUAAAAAUAAAAAUUGCAGCUGAAUAACAUGGCAAGAAGAGUAAAAAGAAGCAUAGAAAAGUAGAUGAAGUUCAGCUAGACCUUGCUAUUUCCAAUAAGCGCAAUACCAAGAGACAAUUUCCUCUUCAUUCCCCCAGAAAGAGAGCCAACAACUGUAUUAAUUUUGUCUGACAAACCAACCUGAUCCCAGCCAAGCAGAAAAUACAGAUUAGAUCCCGGAAAGUUGCGUGAAAUCAUUGUGAAGAUUCAGAAUGUAAAGGUGUCAAUUUUGUCUGAUAACUAAUCUUUAAUGGUUCGUGAAGACAUUAAGAUGCUCACCUCAUCAAUCAUUUCAGUCACUGCCCUCUCCAAGCAGUUUUCUUCAACACCUUUGAGAAUAGCAAAUAUUUCCAUAUGCUCUUUGACCUAGAAGAAAUCCAGUUGAAUGGUAAGAUAGCAAUAUCUAUAUCAAUAAAUGAGAAGGUUAGAAAAAAAAAAUUGCACAAGAACCAAUUGUAGGACCAAACUAUAUAUACAUAUAUAUAGAAAGACAGUUGAACUAGGAUAUUAUUAAUUGUAUAUGAAUAGUGGUUACUAUCCGCUUUUCCACCCUUGGAUUAUUACUAUUCCACCAACCCCCACUAAACCCUAGGCAGCCAAGGGUGCAAAAGUGGAUAGUAAACACUAUUUCCGUAUUAUUAAUAGUAUUCUAGCACAACUCUCUCUCUCUCUCUCUCUCUCUCUCUCUCUCUCUCUCUAUAUAUAUAUAUAUACACACACACACACACACACACACACACACACACAUAUAUAUAUAGAGAGAGAGAGAGGCCUUCAUACUUUUAAAGUUAUAGAAGCAUUUGCUAUAUAUGUGCAUGUUGUGAUAAACUAAAACAGUGAAAAAUAAUAGCAAACAAAGUGAGCGCAUAAAGAGUUAGGAUGACCCCAAAUAUAGUUAAAGAGGGUCGAAACUCAAAAGAAACCUAGAUGUUCUUUUCCCUGUAUGCAAGAGGGGUCCGAUACUAAUAUGAAGAUAAGCAUUCACAUAAGAUUCUGAGCUGCAGCUUAUAGUCAUAUGUCCUAUGCAUAUCUCAUUAAAAUUAUUUACUAACCUCUUAACUCUUCAAACAUUCCAUCAGAAACAUUUUUAAUUGGUAGGGUCAAUAAUUUAAUAUCCAUUUGUAAUUCAGUUUUAUCAAAAUAUAUUCUGUCUACACAGUCCCAAAUAUUAAACAAGCUCUUGAAGGACUUGCAAUGAAGUUAAAAACGUGAUCUCGCCAUACAGUUUGAAUAGUUCAACAAUGCCAAUAAUGACCAAAAUGACAAAAAUAUAAGCCAUUAGUAUUUACUAGUAAUAAAGCUUUACACGCCCAAUUAUAUAUGUAUGUAGUCUGGCUAGGUGAUGUUGCCAUUGAUGCUACAGGAACAUGGACCAUUUUAUAAUAAUAGAAUGUCACACAUGAAUUAGCAAAUAUAUAAUGAAGAAAAAAUCGGCAGCUGCCUCAGCAAUAACUUAGGUUCUUUAUUUAUUCUCAUCCUCUAGGAAAAUAGCACGAUAAUAACAUGGUUCAUACUAGAAAUUUAUUAAAUGAAUCAUAGCAAAAUAACUGUGCUUAACAUGAGGAGGGAGAAGUAAAAAAUGAUUACAACAUAUAUCACCUCCUGUAAGCUAUGUCAAUGCGUGCUCGAUGAAACAAGUAGCCUGAUUAUAAAUGAACACAAAAAGAUGGUCUAGUUUAUGCUUACUGUUAGUUCUGCAAAAAGUACAUCAUUUUGAGGGCAGACACCUAAUGUCUUCCGUAUCUCAUCCUACAAGAAAGAAUGAUUAUUUAGAAAUUGACAAUGCAAACCACAAAAACUUAGUUACUUACGAUGGGAAAUUUGUAAAGAUGAAGAUAAAGCAACAACUAAGAAUCUGCAAGGGACUUGCCAUGUGCGUCCUUAUACUCUUGCCAAAAAUUACUGCAUCACCAGAUGUCGGUGGAAGAAGACCAACAAGCAUUGAAAUAGUCGUGCUUUUUCCAGCACCAUUAUGGCCUACAAAAGAAAAGGAAAAUCUUAGAAACUCAAUAAGAGAAUUAUGAUCAAAAGCAAACUUGCAAUAAAAAAGCAAGCAUACCUAGAAGAGCAAGUAUCUGAUUUUCAAAUAGAGUAAGAUGAAGUGAGUUGACCGCACAACAGACUCUCUUCUUUGUCGUGUAGAUUUUACGCAAAUUCCGGAUGUGAACACAACUAGAAAACAGAGAAAAACAUUAUAUGGCCCAAUCUUCUUCUAGGAAAAAAAAACAAUUUGUCUAUGAGGUUGCAGCAUAUACCGGCCAUCAAGUUCCUGCUGUUUCAUAUCCAAACUUAUUGGCUCAACGGAAGGCGCAGAGAAAACUUGAUUAGAAGAGUGCACCUUGCCUUCUAAUAAUUGAUCACUACUUAUAGAUCCCAGGCUCUCAGAAUAACAGUCAAAUGUUUUCCUUCUCUGCCAGUAUACCCUUGUAAACAGAAAGUUCCACGGAUAACGAACUCCAUACUCUCUAGGAAGAACCUGAUUACGAGGAAAAUUUAUAACAAUGGGACGAAGAAGAUCACAAGAAAAAGGAAAAUGACCAUCAGUGACAGAUGAUCUAGUUUUAUGAGGCUCUAUCAAAUUGAAGAGUAAAAGAAGACCCAAAUAAUCAUCAGAUUAAGGUGUGAGAUAUAAAACAACUAUUCUUUAGAUAACAAAAAGUCUAAAUGAUAUGAUAGAGAGAAACUAUCUUUAGGAAGUAUUUGACGGCUAAAGCAGAGCGACGUGAUAGAAAAGAAAAUCGAAAAAUGAACUAAUUAUAUAAAGACAUACUAUCUCGUCUACGAGCCUAACACUCAGCAUGUUUAUUCUUCUACUCAGCAGUUAUAAAUAUUGAGGUAUUAAAGGGAGAUAUGACCAUUGAAUUGACAACAGCUAAGUUAUCCCCAUUAGGUGCACUAAAAUAUUCCAGAGUGAACUGGCUAAUUGUAUACUUUAUUGCAUGGCAUGAGGGUGAAGCCGCUGAGCUUUUGCAUGACAUGAAGGUGAAGCCACUGAGCUUCACACCCAUUCUAUUUUACAUGCAGUGCCCUAAGGUUGUUGCAGCAGAUACGUAUGUGGAUGUAUAUGCACUAAAUAUCUUGGAUACUAAAUCUCAUUAAAACAUGUGACACAAAAUAGAAACUCAAAUGCACAAAAAAAAAUAUAUUCUAUAAUAAAAAAGAAUAAGAUAAGCAUUUUACAAUUUUCGACCUCAGAAGCGGAUAAGAAGCCCUUAUUAAACUAAUAAGAGAAGCUAGUGUUUGUAGAGAUACAAUGAUACCUACAAUGAUACCUAUAGACCAUAGAACCACUACCUAAGCAAGUAACAAUCUAAGAGAAGCAGAAUAACUAAGCCACGCAAAACUGUUCCCCAUGCCAAUUCAAAAAAGAAGCAACUCAAUUACCUUAUCAAGGUAGAGAGCAAUGAAGCAAUAGAGAAUAGCAUCAACCACCAUCAUCGCAAGACAUACCAAAAAAUUUACUCCAGAUGAGGCCUGCAGUUUUUAUUUAUUCCUCAGAAUAUAAUCUGGAAUUGCAGUGACCUAGAUUCCAAUAUUAUGAAAAUCAACUACCUGCCACAUAUUUGUCCACCGAAGUCCAACAUGAGCACGCUCAUAAUCAGCAAAAUUCACUGUCCCAAGAGCAAAGGCAGUGGGGGAAAGCAAAGAAGCCAAGAUCUUCCAUAUCCUAUCACAAAAGACACAUUAAUGCAUUAUGCAUCAUGAAGUUUAGUCCAAUGCAAUUCAAAACAAAUUAAUACUAACAUUGGAACAGCCGGGUCAUUGACCGAGUAGUAAGGAAAGAAAGCCCCAAGGAAAGACAAAGUGCCAACCGCUGCUGCUGUCUUUGCUCGAGAAAAGAAUGUGGAGAUAAAAAAUGAAAGCAUGACUGCACUUAUCCCAAACAAGAAGAAAUACAUGAAGACUAUUGAUUUAUCGCUGUAUAGAAAAAGGCUGCUCAUUGUGCACACUGUAAUGACUGCUGAAGAUAUUGCAAACUACAAAACAAAGAGGAAAAGUAUAGUGAGAUAUGACAACCUGUGUUAAUGAGAAAUUUACAUAUAUAACUUGGUGUCCUAUAGUUACGGCUCAUGAGUACGCUAUCCAUAUAAUGCUACUGAUGUUGAUCAAUGGGAAAAACGCCAGGAUAUAUAAUGAGGACACAUAAACGAUUUGCACUGCUAGCUUUCCUUACUGCAGAAAAACAGGCAGUAUUAUUCUAUGACAAAUAUCAGCUCAAGAAGUACACGUCUAUGCAUCAUAAAAGAAUUAACAAAUAUUAACAUAACAUGAAAUAAAAUGGUGGCAGUAAGACUGCUAGAAACAAAUUGCCAGUUUGUUGGCCAUUCUUUUCCUUUUUUAUCACACUCAAUGCAUAAGAAGAAGAACUUCAAACAAAAUAAUUUCUCCUUUGUGGGCAGUGACACAGUGUAAGAGUUUUAGAUCAUAAUGAGCAAUGCUGAUCUUCAAUUUUCUGGCUUUCAUUAGAAACUUCAGAAGAACAUUGUCUAAUGCCUGAAAACAAAUGAAAUAUGUAGUCAGAUGAUCAGUAAGUACCUGUAAAGAAUACGUAAUAAACCAGGAAAGGUAAAAUAUUUCAUCUUUAAGACCCAUCAUGUGCAGGCCUUCUUUGAUCUUUUGCUCCUGAUACAGUAAAAAUCAGCAAAAUAAUCAUUCUUCAAGAUAAUGAAGAGUGUAACGUUAAAUUAAUAUAUUACCAAGAUACAUUGCAACUACUGCACCUUUUCAUAGACAGAAUUGCUGAUUAGACGAGAUAUUGGAUAGAGAAAUCCCAAAAGAUAUCUGCUUCAAUUGGAAAAUUAAUCAGAAAGCCCGACAACUGUAAAUUAUGGCAAACAGCCUUACACUAGCUAAGGAAAACAAAAUUCUAUUCAUGACAUUAUUUAAUUAGAAACAACAAAACAGGAACUGUGCAGAUACUAGGAGAAAAAGUCAUUUUAUAAGAAAAUACAGAAGAACGAAAAGGACGUACAGAAAAUACAAAAAAGAAGAGUUAAGAAUGAACAGAGAAACAUAAUAGUUGAAUGUUAACUGAGCCCCUAUUUCACCAUUAAAUACAUCAGACGCCCAUUACACAAGUUAAUGAAUGAUGAAUAUUUGGUAAUAACAAUUUUAACCCAGUUAUGUGGAAUGAACUGCAAAAAAAGAGUACAAAAACAUGCUAAAUUAAGCUUAAAAUUCUAUGCACUACAUGUCAAGCUAAUUUGACAAAGGAGAUCUCAUUUUUUUCCUGGAUACAAGCCUAGCUAUAGCCAAUCAACAACUUAAACAAGUCCUCUCCAAAUUUAGUUCCCAUAUUUCAGCAAUAGGAUGCGAUGGACAUGUCAAUUAGUUACUUUCCUCCUUUAUUUACUAAGUUCCCUACACUACCUUGAAAAGAAAAAUUCUUCCAAACCUUUCUUUUCUAAAUUUCUUUCAGUUCAUAAUUACAUUCCAACUAAAUAACAUCCUAUGUCCAUCGCAAUUCUCUCAUGUAGAGAAAAUUAAGGGCUUUCCCCAAUAAAUCUGGGACAGUUCCCUAAUUUCAAAUCACCAAGUACGUUAGACUUACGAAGAAUAACAUACAUCUUUGAUAAUGAUAUUUACAAAAGCAAUAAUUUGCAGCUAAAAGUUUCCUCAAGGAAAAUGAGUUCAAAGAAACUCAGAGAGAAUGGGAUUGCACUUACAGUACUCCCAUGACAUCCUUUACGAUGGACUGAAACUCAUCAUCUGUGUAUUCACGAGUAGGAAAUGGAGCUAUACUGAUGUUUGCAGGGAAAAACCGUGUCCAAGAAGAGCCAACAUCAGACUGAACUACAGAUGAAUGAGACUGCCGUAGCUCUCUAAUCUCUGCAGUAAUAUUAUUUCCAGUUUGCUGUGCCAUAAGUAUUACUAAUGAGUCCACAACUUGCUGCAGCUGCGAGAAAUGAAGAAGAGAUCAAAAUAAGUGAAGGGAUAGCAAAGUCAAGUUAUUAAAGGAAUAUCUUAUAAAACCACAUUAACGGACAGUUGAAAAAUCUUAUACCAUUAAUAAAAGAUAGUUGAGCCAUUUAUAUAUGGGGCAAUUGCUUAUAUACCCCUGAAAAGUUUCCGACUUUUCGAUUUACCCCUCUUAGAAGGCUAAUAUUGAAAAUACCCUUUCUACGUUCCAACCUAUUUCUAAUAUACCCAUAGAGUUAAAAUCUGUUAAUUAACUCUGUUAUCUCUGUAAAAUUACUAUUUUGCCCUUUCAAAUAUACCCUUCCACCAUCACUGACUUUCUUAUUUGCCCUUAAAGUCAGGGGCGCAAAAAGUAUUUUGAUUUUUGGUCUUUUCCAAUAUACCCCUCUACCAUCACCAAUAUUUCUUAUUUGCCCUUAAGUUAAGGGUAAAAUUGGCAUUUUAAUUUUUUUUAACAAUGGUACAUAUUUUACUCACGUUUAACCCAAGUUAACUUAACAGGAGAUAACUGCAGGGGUAUUUUGCAAUAACGGUGGAACAUAUGAGGGGUAUUUUAGAAAGAAAAAAAAAGUAGGGGUAAAUCGGAUAUUUUCAAACGUAUAAGGGGUAUAUAGGCAAUUAUCCCUUAUAUUAUAAAAUAUCCCAAAGUCGAAUGAAGAGUAUCAAAGAGUAAAAGAUGACGGCAGAAGAGUUAUUAAUGUUCAAAAACUGUGUUCGAAAUAACUAGUGUCUCCUAAGGGAUGAAGAUAUGCAGCUAAAAGAGAGAGGGAAAAGAACUCAUACAGUUAAGAAGCCACUAAAACCAUAUUGAAGAGUUGGUACAAUAUUCAUGCCUAGUUCCAAGUCAUUGAGAUAAGGUCCAUUUACAUCCAUGAUGGUUUUAACAUCAGGAAAGCCUGAGAAAGCCCAGGUGUGAUUGAGGCGUAUGCUGUAGUCAAAUAAUUUAGGACCCUGCCCAUGAAACACAAUAGCUCCUCUAAUCUUGGGAUUUGACAAGUUCCUGAACAAAAAGAUUAGCAUUAAUCUGUGCACCAAUAUCCACAUUUGCAAAAUUCACAUUUUUAACUGAUAUGUCCUUGUCGAGCUACCCACCCUAAGAGACAAAGGAAGACUAAUGGAACGAAAUAACUCUUUAAGUGGGAAAAAAAAAUGUGUGUAAUGCAAACUUUAACAUGCACUUAAAAAUUAUCACGCAACUGCAUAGAUAACAUGCAGAUGCCGAUAAGGUGCAAAGGAUCAACAGAAGAUAGUACCUACUUAGUUAACUGAACAGUAAUCCUCAGAAAUGUGAAGCGAAUAGGAGAAACAAAACUUACUUGGUGUGAUCAUUAAUGCCAUAUAGAUCCGAGCGUAUGUAACUCUCAAGGUCCAACUCAUCCUUGUAUAUUCUUCCGACCAUCUACUACCAGAGAAAAAAUGACCACCAAAGGUAUAGGUUGAAGCAGCAAAUAAAAAUUCAGCAUUUAACUAUGACAAUUAACUAUUUGUACGUAUUCUUAAAAUAAAUUGUACCUUCAGCAGUGGAAAUUUUAAAGUAAGCACAUCCACCAUCGACCUAGUCUCAUACGAGUCGGGCACGAAAGCCAAAUGUUCACCAUUUGCAAACAUCAGCUUCAGUAUGCUAUCAAAACUCAGAGAUAUCUCGCUCUUGCCCACUUCAACAAACAUGCCCUUCUUGAUAUACCUGAUCAUUGAAUCGAAAGACAACAGAUAAAAAACCUCUCGAGAAAAUCGGCUUGUAACUCAAAUUCUCUACGUUCCUUUCUGAAACUGUGAGACUGCGAGACUGCCACUGCACAGCUCAACUCAGAACGGCGUAAAAACAUUAUGUUCAGGUCCCACCCCAUGGUAAUGUAAGAUAUUUACGAAUCGGAAAAUCUACAAUGUUUCCAUCACUUUAAUAAGCGCCAUAUGCCCUUGCCAUAUCAAAUAGCAAAUAUUAAGCAUGUGCGCAGCGUUAUAAAUCAAAUCAGUGAAACAAACAAAUCUAAAGAAGGGUUAUACUCAAAUGACUCCAAAUAUAUUCCAAAAAACGUACGCUUGCACGGGAUGAAUCUGCGUGUCGACCCUCGUGCGGAUGCCGAUCAGCAUAAGCAUUACAAUCGUUGGCAGCAGAAUCUGAUAACAGAGCAUAAUGUAACACAAACCAUUCGAUAAAAACUAAAAGUUUCACCAAAAACAAAAAAGGGAAAACUGUAUAGAACUUACCUAAACUAUCACCUAUUUGGAUUUGACUACGUAACCUUUAAAAAUUUUGAUUUUACUAUCUGGCCUAUUUUAAUUUAUUUAACUUGAGGCAACUAGUGACUCUUUAACUUCAAGUUUUAAAUACGUUUAUCUUUACGGGUUUAGUCAAUAUAUUUUGCGCAAUUUAUAUAACUAUAAAUUCAUUAUAGCAAGCAAUUAGCUUAAAUUUCGUUUCCGAAGAGCCACCAAAUCACUGAAACAAAUUGAAAGAUUGGAUUCUAAAAUGAAAAAAUUAAAAAGAUGGAUAGUUGAAUCAAAACGGUCUAUUGUUGAGCUAAGUUUUAUAUAUUUUUACCAAAAUAGGAAAAAAAAAAAAGUAAAAACAUACAAAACUUACCUAAACUAUAGACCAUUUUGAUUUAGCUACCCGACCUUUCAAAAUUUUAAUUUUACUAUCCAACAUUUCAAUUUGCUUGAUUCAAGUAAGUCACCGACACUUUAACUUCAAAAUUUAAGCUAAUUACUUACUUAAAGAAUUUAUGUUAUAGUUGCGAGUAUUACAUAAAAUAUAUACUAAUUAAAUAAAUUCAAAUUUUGAAGUUGAAUUAAAAUAAACUGAAAGAUUGGGUAGUAAAAUUAAAAUUUUGAAAAGUUGGAUAGCCAAAUCAAAAUGAUUUGAUCUAUAGUUCGGGUAAGUUUUACAUAUUUUUACCACAAAAAGAAAAUAUAUAUAUACACAUCCAUACACACAAACUCUCUCCGCUUACAAAUAACAAAGGGAUCAGUGAUCAGUGAGGAGAAAUGAAUAAAUAUAGAUUAAUACCUCGGUACAGGUAGUGAACGGGUGGCGAAUUUUGAGGAGCCAGUUCUUGCGGAGCAUGGCGCGCAGCUGCCGCUGCGUCGGCCCCAUCUCUUUCCUCCAAUUUUUUGCGCAAAUUUUCACAAAUUAGUAAUUGAGCACUGCAUUCGAAAAGGGAGGAAAAAAAACAAAACCCUAGAGGGAGAUCAAAGAGGAAGCGGAGAGGAACAAAGGUUGGGAAAGGAGGCGAGAGAGGUGGAGGGGGUUGGGCGAGGAGGAAAAUGAUAAAAGCCGGAGAGUGCAGGUGGGGUCGGGGAAACAGUAACAGGCGCCGCCCGCGUGACUGCGCGAGCGGAGUUGGCGCGCCGGCGUGGCGGGCGGUGACCCACAGGGUCGGGGGAAAUAAGGAGAAACUGUUGCCUGCACGCGGCGUACGGCGUAUAGGGAGUCCCGCUGGGAUACUAUGGAUGGCGCAAGCGUUUUGUGCUAUCAAAUUUUUCACCGUUAGAUUUAAUUUUUGACUAUUUUUAUCCCUUAGAUUAUACUAUUAAAUUAAUAACUUACACAAUCCUAGGAGACCCACAUCAUUCUAAUCGUAUAUUUUCUCAUCCAAAGAUUUAAAAUCUAAUAGCACCAAUAGCUUGGUGCUAUUGAUAGUAUUCCAGUCUAGUUUGCCAUAUAGGUUUCUGUUGAAUUCUCAUAAAAAUUAUUGGGUAAACUUCAAAUACCACCCCUAUGAUUUCACACUUUCUCACUUUAGUACCCUAUGGUUUAAAAUAUAUCAAGUUAGUGCUCUAUGGUUUUAUUUUUAUCUUUUCGUCAGUUUUUCUAUUAAUUUUUCAUUAAAUUAUUAUAUACAAAAAAUUUCAGAUACAUCACCUAGGUUUAUUGAAUAUUCACUUUAGUACCCUUUAGUUUUAACUUUGUCACCGAUUUAAUAAAAAAAAAAUAGUGGAUUGAUAAUAAAAAGAUAAAAAUGAAAUCAUAAGACACUAAAUUGAUACUCUUUAAACCGCAUGGGUGGUUUUCGAAGUUUUUCCUAAAAAUUAUUUUUUCUAUGACUCCGACUACUAUACUCUUAUGAGUACGAUCGCCCUUGUACUCAUAAGUCGUUUUCGAUGAUACAGCUUUCGAGUCGACCAUUCAUACCAUUAAACAUCAUGUAGAGCAUUUAAAACUUCUAAAAAACAAAUUUCAUAAUUUUUUGAUAUCAUUCACCUUACAAUCAAAAGAUCUCAAAAUUGACAAUUUUUAACGGCCGGUAUGUGAUACUUGCUAGUUAACGGCGUAAAAGAAUCAAAAUUUGUUGAAUUUUUGAUAAAAAAUUUUAUUCACUACCUAGAUAAAGAUCAAUAACUUUGAUCUUAAAUUGAAGGAUCCUAUCAUCCUUUUUUAGUACGUCGUUCGAUUUUGACCGUUCAUUUGAUGCCCACUUAAUGGACUUUAUUAUGAUUUCGAAAAAUUACGAAAUUUAUUUUCUAGAAGUUUCAGAUACUCUAGAUCAUAUUUAACGGAAUGGAUUCUCGAUUCGAAAGCUCCAUCAUCGAAAACAACUUAUGAGUACGAAGGGCUAUAUAAUUAUAAGAGCAUAGUAGCCCUACUCUAUUUGUACUAUUUAUUCCUAGUGUAAACUUUAAAUACCACCCCUAUAGUUUUACACUUUCCCACUUUAGUAUCCUGUAGUUUAGAGUGUAUUAAUUUUGUAUCCUGUGGUUUUAUUUUUCUCUUUUCGUUAGCUCCUCCGUCAACAUUCGUUAAAUUAUAUACAAAAAAUUUCAGAUACCCCACCUAGGUUUAUAAAAUAUUCACUUAGUACCUUUAAUGUUUAAUUUUGUCACUGAUUUAACGAAAAAAAAAUAGUUAGAAAAAUAAAACCAUAGGGUACUAAAUUAAUAAACUUUAAAUCACAAGGUAUUAAAAUAAAAAAUGCGAAACUACAUGAGUGGUAUUUGAAGUUUUUUCUUAUUUUUAUGUAUCAUGGAUACUUUUAUAAGCCUCGCGUAUCUGUGUCGAACACACGCUUGUCCGAGUCGGACUCGUGUCCAAUGUUGACACUUCUUGAACGCGCAUUUAAUGCCGAUCCAUAAAACAUAUAAUUAAAAAAUAUAUAUACAUAUUUUUAUUUAUUUUUUACGCAUAUAUAAUUUAAGAUGAUAAAUAUUUUAGGUUUUUUUAUGAAUGCAUAUAAAGUUUUUAGACAAUAUAAAUAAAUUAUAUAUAAUGGAGAACCUUUUUUUCAAAAUAUAUGAAUUCAAUGAAAUUUUUGUUACCUUUCAUUCGUACGAGAAAUAUGAUAAUAUUUUAUCAAAAUUAAUAUUUUAUAUAUAAUAAAUAUAUAUUAUUAUAUUAAUAAUAUUAUAUUUUAUUAGCGGUGUCUGAGUCUCAAUUUUUUAAAAACUAUCAAGUUGUCAUGUCUGCGUCAUAUCGUAUUUCGUGUCCCGUGUCAGUGUUUGUGACGUCUAGAUUGAUUUAUAUAACUGUCAAAUUAAAGUUUUUUUAGUUAUGCUGUUUAUUUAGCACAAUGUGACUAAUAUAAAAAAUAAAAAGUUCGAAAGAUUUUUUUUCAUUUUAAUUCUUUAAAAAAUUUAUAAUUUAUUAAAUGAUUCUAUAAAAAAUUAUUUAGCCAAAUAAUUUUUUUGUCCAAUUCAGCUAAAGGUGAAAUAACAAUAUGAAGAAGGUCAAUCAUUUACCGUAUUCAUAAGUUGAUGAAUCAUUUAUCAUCUUUUUCCCAGCAAAGAAAUUGUAAAUAAUUUAUUGUUUCAUUCUAUUUUUUAUAUAUAAUUCUAACAGCUAUAUAAAAUUCCAAUAAAUCAUAUAUAAUCCUAAAACUUACAAAAUCUUAACAACCUAUUCAUAUAAUUUUAACAAUUAAACAAAAAUUCUAAUAAUUUAUGUACAAUCCUAACAACCUCAAAAAAAUUCUCAUAAUCUAUAAAAAAAAUGAUAACCAUUGAAAAUGAUGAAUGAUUUACCGUUUUCUAAAUACGGUGAAUGCAUGAUUCACCACGUUCCUCAUUUUUGUUCAGCAUGGUACUAAGUUGAUAAAAGAAUGGUUAAUUGGAUAAAUAAAAUUUUUAAAGGAUCAUUUGGCAAAUUAAAAUUUUUUAUAGGAUUAUUAUAAAAAAAUGUCCGAGUUGAAAAUUAUAAUUAUUAUUGUAAUUGAAUUUAACCUAGGAUGGACUGAAACCAAUUAUGGAGAAAAAAUGUGAGAAAAAAUAUAAUAAAAUAUUAGCAUUUCACAUUUUUAGUUUUUAUAUCGUUUACUUUUUAUCAAACAAACAAUAGAAUUAGAGUAACUUAAGUUUCACACAAUAUAUAUAUAUACAGAUAGCGAAAGAAAUAAAUUUUUAUCUGAACUCUAGUUUACUCGAAAGUCUAAUUUAAUCUGAAUUUCACUUUUAGUCAAACAAAGCGGCUCAUACAUUUUACUCACCAUACCAAAAAUUUAAGAAAAUUGCUAUUUUUACCCUUUGUUAUUGUGUGUACAUCUUACAUCUAUUGAUAGUAGAUUUAAAAACUUUUUUAGAUUUGUAGUAUUAUGAAAAAGGUUGAAAAGACAAGCAAAUAAAAUGGUCACUUUUUAAAGUCUAGGAUAUAAGAUUUACACCUAGCAAUGCUCAAUUUUUAAUAAGAGUGAACUACAAUUUGCCCUAGCUAUGUAGUUUGGCAUAUAUUUCACUAAUCUAUGGUUCAAAAAUUAUAUCUCACUAUUCUAUAAUUUUGAAACAAAAAAGCAAAGUAACACUUUGUGCAAAAUUACCGGCCGUCUCUAGAGCAAGUACCAAAGGGCUUGGUGGUUGGUACCCGAGACCCAAGUUCUAAUCCUAGUUGAUUUAUAUUUUUAACUAAGUUUAUUUCUAAAUAAAAUAACCAAGCAGGUAGCGUGCUACCUAUCUCUCUCUCAAAAAAAAAAAAAACACUUUGUGCAAAAUCGUGCAAAUUAUAUAAUGCUACAUUUAUUGAUAUAUAAUUUGUAAAAAAUAUCAUUCACUAUCUUGUUUAAUGAUGAUUCCUUACAACAAAAUACAAGUAAAAUGAUAUGAUAUUUAAGUGUAACUUUUCUCAAUACACUUUGAAAUCUAUUCUUUCAUAAUUUACAUUUUAAAACAAUAAUUUAAUUUAACGUAUAUGAUUUAUAAUAUUUAAUGAGCUUACUUAAAACAAAUUAUAUAUUUUAAAAACGUAUUAUCUAGUGAUCAAAUAGUCCAAAAAAAUUAACAAAAAAGGGAAAAAUAUUAUUUGAUUCAUAAAAAACUUGUAAACAAAACUUUACAAAUAUACGUUUGUAAAAUUAAAUUCUGGUUUCAGGCUUUUAUUACUGAGUUUUAGGGGUAAUGUUGUAUAUGCCGUGUAACUUAACUUAUACACCAAGGGCGCGUUUGGUUCGAAGUCGGAAUCGAAAUCGGAAUCGGAAUCAAAAUAAGCUGGAAUCGGAAUCGGAAUGACUCAUUACCUAAUUUUGUUUGGUUCAUCACCUGAAUCGGAAUCGGAAUAAAUCAUUCCCAUUGUCGGUGUUUGGUUCAGGUAGAUAUAAAAAAUGUAAUCAAAUUAAUAUACUAACAUUAUCUUUAUAAUAUAUUAAUUUAAAUUCAAAUUAAAAAUUAAAUAUUAAAAAUUUACAUCAAAAUUUUGAAAUAAUGUCUAAAUUUUAAAUCUUUUUUUUUUAAAAAAAAUUAAACUUUGAAGUUGAGUGGAUAAUUUAAAAUAUGAAACUAAAUUUUGAUUUAUUCAAAUUCAAAUUUAAAAUUACAAUUUAAAUUUUAAUUUGAAUACAUAAAUUUAAUUUAAGUUUGAAAUAAAAUUUGAAUAACAUUUUAUAUAAAUUAAAAUUUAAUUUAAAUUCAAAUUCAUAAGUUAGAUUCGAAAUACUUGAUUAAAUUUUAAUUUUUAAUUUAAGUUUAAAUUAAAAUUUAAAAUUAUAUAUUUAAUUUUAAAAUUUUAACUCAUAUUUUAAUUAAAAAAGUUGAAAAAAUAAAUUUAAUCCGAAUAAAUAUCCAUUCCGUCCGGAUUCAACUUUCAAUCCGGCCUCCUAGGCCAGAUUGAAAAAAGAGGUGAUUGGGAAAUUCCCAUUCCACUCGGGAAUUGUAAUCGGAAUGGAACUCCCGCGUACCAAACACCCACAAACGGAUUUAUCCAUUCCGAUUCCGAUUCCAGAGUGAAAAAGAAGCGAGCCAAACACGCCCCAAGUGUAGGUAAUAAUUUAGGAAACGGAUUGGGAUAGUUGGCGUGUUCCCUCAGUCAUCUCGGCGUAGAGAAUCAGACAUUUUCUGACAUUUUUUAGUUGUUCGUUGGUUCAGAUUUUGACCUUUUCUUUCUGGGAAGGGACCCAUGUAAAUAUUAGAAAAGGACAAUUAUGCCCUCAUUUGGGAAAAUAUUUUGCUGGAAAAUGUCUCUUUGGACGAGACAAUUUUGUCCAAAAUAUUUUAAGAUUCACGUCAUCUGCACAAUAAAUAGUAAAUAUAAAAUGAGUUUUUUUUUUUUUAUUUAGGCCUCUCGUGAUUUUUUUUUUCACAAAUAGCCUCAUAAAAUUUAUAAUUACAAAACUAGUUCUAUUUCCGCCACGCAAACGCCACAUCAGCCGCUGGCUGGAGUAGUAGUAUAAGCUAAAUAUGGUGAACUAUUCACUUUAUUUUGAUACGAUGAAUGAUUUACUGUGUUUAAGUUAAAUUACACUACUAGACUGUUUGAGUUAUUCUGCACUGCAGGAAUUGGGUAUUAUUUAGUCAUCUGAACACAAUGAAUGAUUUAUUUUGUUCAACUUAACUCUCCACAGCUAUCGACGUGACACUUACAUGACGGGAAUAUGAUCAGUUUUGUAAUUAUAAAUUUUAUGAGACUAUAUGUGAAUUUUUUUUUGAGAGGGGGUUAAACGCAAAAAAAAGCCCAAAUGAAAUAGACGUUUCAUAUUCAAAGUCGUCUCCGCGGAAUUUCCAUUCCUUAUCUAAUAUCCAAUUCUUUCGAUUCAAAUUCUGGGAAUUACCUGAAAGGGGUGAAUUUUCAAAACCUGAUGCGUCUAUUUUUUGUUUUUUUGGAUGAAUUGCAAGUUUGGUCCUCAAACUAUGAGUUAAGUGACACUUUAAUAUUUAACUUUAAUUUAUUUAUUAUAAUUUUAGACUCAAGUUUUUUGAAUUAUUACAACCAAGUUCUACAAUUUAAUUUACGUAACUAAAUUUUAACGCAUCGUUAAUAUAAAAAUAAUGUAAUAUCUUACUAUUGGCUCAUCAUCAUCAUUAAUCACAACGCUACUGUAUCCUCUCGACAUUAGUGAUAUAUUGAUGCUCAGUCAACUAAAUUGGAUUGUAAACUUGAUUUCAAUAAAUUUUUCAAAUUCAAACUAAAAAUAAUUAAAAAAAUUAAAAUUUAAGAACUAAAACAUCAUCUGCCUCGGAGUAUAUGUAGCAGGGAAGUUUCCCAAACAGCUGGGGUUUGAGUUCAGAUGAAAGCUGUCAGUAUACAAUGCAAUCAUGCAGCCACUAUGAUUUCUUCAAUUAUCUGAAGAACAGUCGUCUGCAUCUCAUCAUCCUCCAGCUUCUACAUUGCACUACAUUUGAGAUGUUAUGUAAACCUGUCUUCAAAAUUAUUGCUAAGAUAUGUAAUUGGAUGAUUUGGUACUUUUUAUUUAUAUGUGGUAUAUGAAGUUACCUUGAAUUUAAUAAUUUUAAUAAUUGAUGAAAUAUAAUUAUUAUUCAAUAAUUGUAAAUGAUAUAUAAAUAACCUGAAAUUUUAUUACAAAGCAUGUAUUGAUGUGUUUGUAAAUUUAUAUUUUGUGUUUAGUUGGGUGGACUAUACACACAGUUUUGUUGGAUGUUAAAGAGAAAAAAGAAAAAAAAGGUGCUUUGAGAUUUGAAUAUUACGGAGUAUUUAGAAUCAAAUUGAAUGAAUUAUAUUCUCUCAGAAAUUUCAUCGAACACCUAGAACGCAGUAUCAAUCUCCGGGCUCUUCCUCGUCCCUCUUCGACAUCUCCUUCUCCUUCUCCUUCGUCUUCUUCGUCAACCUCGGCCUCGGCUUCAUGGGCUUCAUGUAGGACGCUUGGAACCCCGCCAUGGCCCUCAGCGCCUUGAGCAGCGCCGCCUCCAACUCGGCCCCCUGCCCCUCGGGCUCCAGCACCCUGAGCGCCCUCGCCACCGCCUCCGCGGUGCUCACGCACCCCUUGUGCGGCUCCUUCUUCAGCACGAGCUCCGAGUCCCACGCGCUCGCCCCCUCCUCCCCCGUCCCCUCGUCGAACCCGCCCCCGAGCGUGACCCACGUCGCGAACCCCUCCAGGAACGGGAGGCUCGCCGCGGCCAUCUCCCGCGCCUGCGCCCACGUCCCGUCGAACACCACGAGCACCGGCGACGCGCGGUCCCUCGGCGGCGUGGCCGCGGCCCACCGCGCGAGGUCGAUGGCGCGGGGGCCGGGGAAGAGGAAGAGGGUCGGGGAGGGGCGGGAGUCGAGGAGCGGGGAGGAGCCGGGGCGGAGGCGGCGCCCGGGGACGGGCACGAGGCGGAGGAGGGAGCGGGAGAGGAGGGGGAGCGUCGCAAGGCGGUUGCGGCGGAGCUCGUGGGGGUGGUGGAGGACGACGACGGUGGCGGCGGUGGGGAUCGGCGACGUGGGGAGGUGCGCGCACACGCACACGCUCGCCGGGCGCCCGCACCCCGCGUCGCACGUCGUCGCCGGCGCCGGCGCUGAGGGGGAGGAGAACGGAUCCGAACUCGGCGUCGUCCAUGGCACAGGUUCGACAACGUUUAAGUGUUUAUUUCCUUAUUAAGUUGACGGGCUUUUUUUUGCAAUUGGCCCCUCAAUUUUUUUUCUUUACAAAUAGUCCCAUCAAAUUUAUAAUUACAAAUUUGGCCAUAUUUUCGCUACGUAGGUACCACAUCAGCGCCACAUAAGUUGGAGGGGGUGUUAGGUUAAACGCGGUGAAUAACACUUAUAUUCCCCUACUUUUCUUUUUCAAUACUUAUAUUUUUUUCGCAGUACAUAUAUUUUUUCUAGAUACAGUACAAUCAUUCACCGUAUUCAAACAAGGUGAAUGGUUCACCGUGUUCUGUACUUACAUUUUUUUUAUAUUUUUUCGCAACACAGAUAUUUGUAUUUUUUUCAAACACGGUGAAUCAUUUACCGUGUUUAGAUAUCGUGAAUGGUUCACCGUGUUUAACUUAACAAACUGGCCCAGUCCUACUUACGUGGCGCUGACGUGGCGCCUGCGUGGCAGGAUUAGGACAAUAUUUGCAAAUAUAAAUCUGCUGGUGUUAUUUUUAAAAUAAAUUUUUUUCAGGAGGCCAAAUGCAAAAAAAGUCCUAAGUUGAAAGUUGAUUUUUUUUUUUAUUAAUAUUAUCGGAACUGCUGUGCCCUUACAAUUUUUUUUUUAACAUAUGAUUAAAUAAGUUCAUAUAGAAUUUGAAUAGAAAAAAACAAUAGAAAUAAAAAUAAUAAUAAUUCAUUCAAUUUGAUUCUAAAUACUCUGUAAACUACAGAGGGGCAAAUUGAGGUUUACCCAUUUAAAUAUUUAUUUUGGGCGGAUUCAGGGCGGGGCUUCGUUAGGCGGAUUCAGGGUGGAUCAAUUUUUCACUUCUCGCAACACGGAUCAGUCUCAAGUUAUAAAAAUGACCCUGUUUAUUGUGCCAAAUCUGCUUAUUGUCUAUAUGUUUCUCAUUUACUACCCUAUUCGGAGCAGAUCAGCACGAGAACUCCCUCAAUCCGGAUCCAUCCCUACUCAAGGGCCCAUUGAAAAGCCAACAAUAGGUUCAUUCUAGAUUGCAUGUGUGGCAUGCAACAAUAAACUCUUGUGCAAUACAACUAGAACAUUAGCGACAAUUGAUGGUUUGUUUGUAUGAGAAGUAUCUAAAACAUUUUCGCAAUAUUUGACCGUAAGUAAUGCUUUGGGUGCCGUUUAUCUUGCCACUUUAUAGUCGUGACGCGUUGGUUGUACUAUACAAAACCCAAUUGUUGCACACAAUGCAUGUAUGCACGCACAUCAGCAACUUUUUAAAGAAUCUUUGAGGAUACACAGCACCAGCACUUCUCUUUUACCGCCAUCUUGAAAUAAAGCUUUUCCUGCUAGUUGAAAACAGUCUGAUUGGAUAGUUCCAAUACUAUUGUGCCAUGAUGGUAAAUAACAAUUCUAGUACUACGAAUGCACGUAGACCAGUAUAUAUUCAAUCAUUUCUCUCAAAUAAAAGGUGUUCAUAAUCUCAACUAGACAAUGUGUUUCUUUACUAAGUUUGCAGUGGUUCUACAAGAUCGUCCUCUAUCUCUUCCGUGUUAAAUGUCAGAGACUUUAUCAGUAUCUUGUUUGCUAAAUUAGGCUGCUUGAUCAUCGGAAAAGUUAGUUAGUCUUACUACGAUUACUAAAGAAAAUUGAAAAGAUCUCCAAAGAAAUUGCAGAUUGAUUAUGAUGGUAAUUUUCUGUAAUUAGUAGCACAAUAUCUUAUGAUAUUGUGCAGUUUUCAAACUCGAGAGUACUCGACAUAAAAGGAAAAAAGCAAAAUGAGCAAAACAACCAUUAACAUUUAAAUUUGGCAUGAAAAUUGGUACACAUUGAAAUCAACUGUGUAUGAUACAACAGAGUCAUGAAAAACUGAAACGACUAUUCUUAGAAGCAAUCCACAUAUCCACAAGUCAUAAGCACUUUCCCCGUGCAGCAGCUAUACCUACAAGUGUACAGCUGAAUUGAUUUGAAGUAUACAUAUCAAGCAACAUAUCGCGGAGGAUUAUAAUUUUGUGACAAAAAACAUUUGUCCUGGCUCUUAUACCUCCAUUUAGUAGCUAAUUGGUAUCUCGAUAAUCGUCUCAAUAGGAUGGCGACAUACUGGACACUUCUUAGACUGAAGCUUAACGGCUUCAGCACAUUCUCUGCACAUGCACUGUAAAUGCAAGAAAGUUCGAUCAUUAGUACAAUUCACCUUAAGAGACUGAUUCAGUUUUCUCACAGUUCAGGUCAUAGUUAAGUUUGUGCAGUUCUUACCAUAUGUCUACAUGGAAGAAGAGCAGUAUCCCUUGCGUUGAACAUACAGAUUACACACUCUAUCUCCGAAAUAUUGGUGCCAAUUUCUGCUUCUGGGGAAGAGCCAACACCGAAAAACUCCUGGUCAUAACAUUCACCGUUGACCCACAAAAGUUGCCGUUUGACCUUCACUUGGAAUCCAAAGGGUCCAUCAUCGACCUUCUCGAUCACAGCUUGGGUGACCUGCGUGCACUUAGAGGCUGUUGAUGGAGAAAUUGGUUCGCAAUAAGAUUCGGCAUAAAGAACAAGAGGGAAGACAUUGCCAUGCAAAGGCCUCGAGAGUUCAUUGUAUUCGAAGAAUCCCAAAUCCGUUCCAGAUCCUGGAGGCUGUAUGAAUCUCUGGCCGAACCCUUGUCGAAAAGGUACUUUCACAGGCCUGUCCAUGUUAUGAUACACUUGGGAGAAGCCACAAUAUUGUUCUUCCUUUGCAAAGUAAAAUAUAGUGAAACUGUCACCACAAACAAAAGGUCUUGUGUUCAAAAACUUGAGAUAGUAGAAACUGAGCAAAUCUCUGAUCUCAUGUUCAAAUGACAAAAUCAAGGCCUCGGAGACCUGCCUCGCAUGUGAAUUAAAUGGGACAAAACUGAAUAACACUAGGAGCCUAAUGGGACUCGUCCUCUGAUACCAUGUUAAACUAUGGGAAACAACCGUUAUUCUCCAAGAGCUUAAUUUUUUAGAGAAUGUCGUAUUUAUUAUUUAUACCCAUGAGUAAGAACCGCUUAUACUUGUUCGAGCGUUGUUUCGCACAGGAUAUAUGGUAAUCUUAUGCAGGCCACUAUAUUGUAAGAUUAUGCUCCUUUUCUUUCCUUUUCUUUUUAACAAUUGAAAGUUGUUUUCUUUCAUAAUAUUAGUAACACCAAUUUGCAAUAGAACAGAAUGUGCUGUUUUCUUUUUCAAAUUGUGUACUGUUUAUCAUCUUGAUUGAAUAUCCAGUUAGUUAUAAUUGACUACAAUAGAUUAUCUACGCGGUCAUAGCAAACUCUACGUCAUUCUAUUCUAGUUGCAUAUAAGACCCCUUAACGCUAAAUAAAUCGGAAAAUCUUAUUUCUCAACUAUUUGGAAUUCACUCAAAUAGAACUUUUUACUAAAUAAAUUCUACCGUCAUAUGUGAUUAAGAUGAGUUACUCUUGAAGUUUAUUUUCCAAUUUCUCCUCCAGUUGUCCUCAUUUUUCUUCUAUUUUCUCAUUUUUUAUGUUCUGUUUGCAGAUUCAGAAUGAGUCCAGAAACCAACAGUAAAAAGGAAACUUAUCCAUUUUAUCCAUCAAGGAGUCAAUAUACUUAUCUCUACUUUAAAUUUAAUCAAAAUUCAUUGAACAAAGAGAUUACUGAAAGGCUACUAUCAAUCAGUUAUUACCUGCCGGCGGCCAAUGAAUCAAAGGAGAAGGAGACCAAAUGGCAGUCGGGUUCCCACUCGUCAGGCUCGAUCCAGAUCGAGUCCUUGUCCACGUUGAUGAGGCUCUUGACAGUCUCGGCCCUUCGUCGUGACGGCAAGGGCUUUGUCUGCACAGAGGUGGGAGCGGAGCCGGAAGUGAUAGUCAGAGCAUCUCUGUACAACAUUAUUUGGGCAGCAGUAAUAGUAAGGGGUACUUCCCGCAUUUUCCGAAAUGAAAGGGGGAGAGGGAAGUGGAUGAUCACAUUGGUACCUUCUUCGGUGCCGCCUGCUUGUAGAUUGACCCAUGCCGAAUUUUGCUCGACUUCUCAUUCUCUCAUUUUUCCUCUCUUUUCUGUGGUUCCUCGGUUGUUCGAGUUCUUGUUUGGAUCCAAAUAGUUUUAGAUAGAAAUGGAUGGAGUGUGGAGAAUGAGAAAAUGGUUGAAUAGUUUUCGGAUGGUUUGUUGUUGAGAUGGUGGGAAGAGGAAGAAGAGUUCAACUGGGGCUUGUGAAUAACUACAGAGGCAUGAAAGCUUUCUUUUUGUUGUAUGUUUGUUGUAUGUAUGCAUGGUAGAUAGUGACCCUUAGGCUACUUACAAAGGGUCAAAGGAUGCUUUCCUUUUUACAAUUUUUCUUCUUGUUAGUUUCUUUCUUUGUACCAUUUCAUAUUUGCGCGAUGUUUCGGUACAAUAAAUAGGAUUGUUGGAUGGCGAUCGGUAGAACUCUGUGAUACAAUCUGGUCACCGCAUUGCAUCGCACCUUAGCUCAUCAUGCAACAUGCAUAUAUUCAGCGAAAAAUGGGGCGGGCCGGUCCAUCGGACUAUCGGGCUAUUCCAAAAUAAAAUAGGUUAUGGUCAGGUUUGCAGGUCCCGGAACGCCUUUCGGGCCGGAACUAGAUCAAGCCUCUUAUGAAUGUGGGCUUUUAUAAUUAUAGCUCACUAACAUAGAAAGAGAGAAGAGAGACUUUCUCAUAUUCUGAGGUUUAGGCAAGCUUUUUACCUAUUCCAAAGGGCUUCAUACAUAUUCUAAAGCUUAAUUUCGGACCAUUUCGUUUAAACACAUUCAUUUGAUGUUUUCGGGGGGUCUAAAAAGUCGAAAGCAUUUUGGGGCUCGCAGCUUCCGAUACAAUGAAAUAGUUAAAGCUUUUUCUUUAGUGGUGGUAGUAGUUGUUCCGCCUAAGAACUCUUUGAUAUCUCGCGCUCUCUAAAAUAUUAAAGCAAAUGCCUUUCGAAACACAUAAUUCAGAAACUGGGCAUAAGGGAAAUGGAUUUGUGCAUAAAAAUGUAUUGAAGGAUGAUUUUAUAUAGUCACGAUCAUCUCAAAAUGCUGUCGUUGAAAACUAUUGAUGUGUUGUCGUAUUAAUGUGUUGUAUACGGAAUACCCAAAACAUUCAAAAUGAUGACAAGCUAUUUCCUAUUAGGAGUUAAGUUGGGCCAACCUCUUCUCUUCAGUGGGCGGGCUAUGUCGUCAUGGAUUCAUAACAUAUGUUCUCAGGCCCAGGAUUGUGCAAAUAAUGUUCGAUUCGAGCUCGGGUUUACUGCAACGCAACACCCGAUCCGGCCCAUUCGCACCACUAUCUGCAGUUUACAUUCUGCAAUUGUAAGUCGAUUCUAGCUAGGGUAAGUUCCAUCACUAGUUCCUGAAUUCUCAGUCAAGUUCUCGAGCAUUUACUUUCGACAUUUUGAGACUUCGAGCUUUUUAAAUUGUUUCACUUAUUAAAGUCCUCACUUUAGAACGAGAAAUAGUAUGGCUAAAGAUGCGACUCAAUGUGUGGCGGUAUUUGAAUACGCGAUAGUAAAUCAACGCAUGGUAGAUGCAUAGUACAUUAACAUAGUUGUAUAUGCAGGUCUUGUUUGAGUGCGUGAAUUUCUUGUUCGAUAUAUUUUUUUAAUUUACUCAAGAAAUUCAUACAUUUGGUAGAUGAAAAGUAUGAUGUUUAAAAUAGAAAACCAUAUUCAAUCUUCAAAUUGUUUUUUCAGAAUAAGAUACAUUAUCUCAUCGGUAAAAUAUGCUAGAUAUUCUAUUAAAUCAUGAAUAACAAGAUAUUUGAAGAAACAAAAAUCAAACUCUUUAGUUUCCAUCGUAUUAGAAAAGUCUCGUACGACAUAAUUAAGUUGUUAUUGAAUAACUUAUUCUGACAUCCAAACAUGGCCUAAGUAUAAAUAACAAUUUUCUCUCUAAUGAUAAAUGUGGGAAGUGACAAAAAUAAUGAGCUUGUAAGAGUUUAGAGUCUCAAAUAUCGAACGCGAA
rnacentral:lncRNA from 1 species